UACGGAGGGUGCAAGCGUUGUUCGGAAUUAUUGGGCGUAAAGGGCAGGUAGGUGGUCUUAUAAGUCUACUGUGAAAUCCCCGAGCUUAACUCGGGAAGUGCGGUGGAUACUGUAAGACUAGAGUGCUGGAAGGGUGCGUGGAAUUCCCGGUGUAGCGGUGAAAUGCGUAGAUAUCGGGAGGAACAUCAGAGGCGAAGGCGGCGCACUGGACAGUAACUGACACUCAACUGCGAAAGCGUGGGGAGCAAACAGG
rnacentral:rRNA from 1 species